rnacentral:lncRNA from 1 species
CCGAGCUUGACGGAAGCCACGCGGGAAUCCAGGACCGUGGGUGAACCACGGAGAGACUUUGGGCUGAUCUGGUGCUGCUGGUCUGACCAGGAGUGUGGGCACGGACCAGGGACAUUUGACUGUCUCUGCAGCACGGGCUCAGGCCAAGACCAACAUGUCAGUGUCUGUUUGAAAGCGGGACAAGGGCUGAAUUCUGUAACAGCACUACGAAGCAGCAGAAAAAGUUAACUGGAGAGACAGGGUAAAUACUACUUAUUGUUGUGGGGAAAUCGACUGCCCGAAACCCAAAGGUCUGAAGAUUUUUUUAAGCUACGUCAGCGCAAUGAAGUUAAUGUAAUAAAACAGCUAGAAUAGUUUGGUGUAAAAACUCA